UACGAAGGGGGCAAGCGUUGUCCGGAUUCAUUGGGCGUAAAGAGCGUGUAGGCGGCCAGGUAGGUCGGUUGUGAAAACUGGAGGCUCAACCUUCAGACGUCGACCGAAACCAUCUGGCUAGAGUCCGGGAGAGGAGAGUGGAAUUCCUGGUGUAGCGGUGAAAUGCGCAGAUAUCAGGAAGAACACCCGUGGCGAAAGCGGCUCUCUGGAACGGUACUGACGCUGAGGAGCGAAAGCGUGGGUAGCAAACAGG
rnacentral:rRNA from 1 species